GAUGAACGCUGGCGGCGUGCCUAAUACAUGCAAGUCGAGCGAACGGACGAGAAGCUUGCUUCUCUGAUGUUAGCGGCGGACGGGUGAGUAACACGUGGAUAACCUACCUAUAAGACUGGGAUAACUUCGGGAAACCGGAGCUCAUACCGGAUAAUAUUUUGAACCACAUGGUUCAAAAGUGAAAGACGGUCUUGCUGUCACUUAUAGAUGGAUCCGCGCUGCAUUAGCUAGUUGGUAAGGUAACGGCUUACCAAGGCAACGAUGCAUAGCCGACCUGAGAGGGUGAUCGGCCACACUGGAACGGAGACACGGUCCAGACUCCUACGGGAGGCAGCAGUAGUGAAUCUUGCGCAAUGGGCGAAAGCCUGACGGAGCAACGCCGCGUGAGUGAUGAAGAUCUUCGGAUCGUAAAACUCUGUUAUUAGGGAAGAACAUAUGUGUAAGUAGCUGUGCACAUCUUGACGGUACCUAAUCAGAAAGCCACGGCUAACUACGUG
rnacentral:rRNA from 1 species